CUCCUACGGGAGGCAGCAGUGGGGAAUUUUGGACAAUGGGCGCAAGCCUGAUCCAGCCAUGCCGCGUGUCUGAAGAAGGCCUUCGGGUUGUAAAGGACUUUUGUCGGGGAGGAAAUCCUCUGGGUUAAUACCCUAGGGGGAUGACAGUACCUGAAGAAUAAGCACCGGCUAACUACGUGCCAGCAGCCGCGGUAAUACGUAGGGUGCAAGCGUUAAUCGGAAUUACUGGGCGUAAAGCGUGCGCAGGCGGUUGUGCAAGUCUGAUGUGAAAUCCCCGGGCUUAACCUGGGAACUGCAUUGGAGACUGCACGGCUAGAGUGCGUCAGAGGGGGGUGGAAUUCCGCGUGUAGCAGUGAAAUGCGUAGAGAUGCGGAGGAACACCGAUGGCGAAGGCAGCCCCCUGGGAUGACACUGACGCUCAUGCACGAAAGCGUGGGGAGCAAACAGGAUUAGAUACCCUGGUAGUCCACGCCCUAAACGAUGUCAACUAGCUGUUGGGGGGUUUGAAUCCUUGGUAGCGUAGCUAACGCGUGAAGUUGACCGCCUGGGGAGUACGGCCGCAAGGUUAAAACUCAAAGGAAUUGACGGGGACCCGCACAAGCGGUGGAUGAUGUGGAUUAAUUCGAUGCAACGCGAAGAA
rnacentral:rRNA from 1 species